rnacentral:lncRNA from 1 species
GUCUUGCUAUUGGGGAGACGUGUGUGAAAGGGAGAAGGAGGGGGGCAGACAAGAAAGGAAUAAAUAAAACUAAAGCAGCAAGGAACUUCCCAUCUCGGUGGCUAAGUUCUGUUUCAAAAUGAGUCCAAAACUCUGGUCUCAUGCCUUUUUUUUUUUUUUUUAAAGACUGUGACAGUAGGAGAAUAAUGUGAGCUGGCAAGUAAUAAACAGUUUCUAUAGGCAUCAGGUGGGAACUUAAAAUUCAGAAGGCAGACUCCUCAAUUCUGAAUUAACUUCCUUUCUUCCUGGGCACAAGAGGGUCUAUGUUUCUCUCAUCUUCUCCCUGGCCCCACACACACUCUUUCAUGCAGUCAACAUUCCUGCCCCACAAUAGGUGUGAUUGCAUCCCAUUAUGUUGUCAUGGCAAUAUCCAUUGCCAUCUGGGGGGUGGGGAGGUGGCAGUGGAAACAAAUGAGUGGCCAAUCAGGCUUUCCAGGAACGUCUCAUCAUGACACACUGCUCUCUGCCAACUGCCAGAGCUGAGCGGAAUAAAGAUGAGUGUGUGAGGACCCUAUUGAGGGGGCACAAUGAUAGUACCCUGCCUAAUCUCGGCCAAGGGAUCGAGAGUCAGAGGGACAUUUUGUCCAUGUGAAUGUCUCUUUGCUGAGUGACAGGUUAUUGAUCAGCAUGAGAUGGGAGAACCAAACAGCAAACGAAACAGAAAAGGAAAAGUCCUGUUGUCAAGACCUCCAAGGACAAGAACCAGUGAAGCCUGGUAACAAACACAUUAUGCUUUGAAGAUCUGCCAGUUAACAGCUGUGUGGUCUCUCUCCGAUUAACAUCUCUCAGCCCUUUUUUCACCUUUAUGAGAUGGGGAUUAUAAUACCACAUCCCUUGUAGGGCCAUUGUGAGGAUUGAAUGAGCUAAUGCAUGCCCACGUGCCCACCUCAUGGUGGGAGCAAGCCAUUGCCUCCCCCUCAGAGGACCCAGUGGAGAGAAGGUUGACAGCUUGGCAUUCUCUUUGGAAUGGCUGUUGACUUCGCACUGCCAUCCACAGAAGAGCUCCAUAACCCCACCCAAGGGCACGGAAUGGCCUUUCCUUAAAGGUGAAGCACAACAUCAUUCUCAAGUGCCUUUGCAAAUGUAUGUGAACAGUCUUUCAAGGCUCAUAUCAAGAAGUCUCCAGUUCACACUCCUGUCCCAAUAUCCAGUGCCCGACAUUGAGCCCCUGGGGCUUUCUGAUCAAGAGUGGGGAGGACAACCAGCCAGAGUGGGCAGCUGAGGUCACCUGGAGUAAUUAAUCCUAAAGUUUACUGGUGCCUGUUCUGCUGGGGAGCAGGAAUCCAAUUACCCACAGUGACAGCAGCUUAGUCCCUGGGGAGAUACUCAUCUGCAGGGCGGCCAACAACCUGUCCACCUGAAAUCUUCCCGAGAAGCAACACCAACCUCCACCCCCUUCACUUUCUCCGCACACCCUAGCCAGGCACAGACCUCAGCUAACCAGGACAUUGCCCAGGCCACACUGCCUGGGUUGUGGUACAAAGGAGUGAAUUCUGGGAGAUUGGACCAGGACAGCUUCUAGAGGUCUCCUAACAAGAACCCAUUUCUCCUGUAGAACGAAGACCAGAACUGGUCAUUUACCCAGGCCGAGCCAGACCUAUAUGAUACAUCAAAAGCAGAACAGAAAGAAAGGGAAUGAGAGAAUCCAAAUGAGUUUAUUUGUCCAUUAAAUAAAUAUGCAAAAUUAUGCAGAUGUGGAAAUGGGCAUACAAUUUUUAAUCAAUUGCUCUGGCAUCAUCGUGAAUAGACCUAUGGUUCUGGAUGAGGGGACCGCUAAGAGAUAAUUCUGGCCCCCUUGCCAUCAGCAUCCCAAAGAAUGUACAUUAGGAAGCAGGGAGGUGGUCUAUGCCAGAUGACCUUUUUGCUCUUUUUAUGUGGCCCUGACUCUGACUAAGAUGGGUUCCUACUUCUAGAAUUUCUUCCCUGGACAAGAGUGAAAAAGUGGCCAAGUCUUUUGCAUGGCUACCACCAGGGAAAGGAAUUUGACUUUUGUAAUGCAAAUUUACUUCCUGGCUUGAAAGUACAUGAUUAAAAUGAUAUGUUUCAGUGUGGGAGCCAGACAGCAGAUUUGGUAUUAGAAGGCAGCAGCUGCUGCUUACACACAGGGGUGUCUGCAAGGUACACGGAGGAGUAGGUAAAAAAGUAUUUGUUGGGGCCUGGAGACCCUAGGACUUGCUAAUCAGAAUGGACCAUUCAGGUGCACUUAUAUAAACCUAAACACAACAAGGGUGUAGUAUAACAAAAGCUGAGUACCUUCAAAUUGG